UACGGGGGGGGCAAGCGGUUGUUCGGAAUUACUGGGCGUAAAGGGCUCGUAGGCGGCCAACUAAGUCAGACGUGAAAUCCCUCGGCUUAACCGGGGAACUGCGUCUGAUACUGGAUGGCUUGAGGUUGGGAGAGGGAUGCGGAAUUCCAGGUGUAGCGGUGAAAUGCGUAGAUAUCUGGAGGAACACCGGUGGCGAAGGCGGCAUCCUGGACCCAAAUCUGACGCUGAGGAGCGAAAGCGUGGGGAGCAAACAGGG
rnacentral:rRNA from 1 species